rnacentral:rRNA from 1 species
AUUGAACGCUGGCGGCAGGCCUAACACAUGCAAGUCGAGCGAGAGGCGGACGGGUGAGUAAUGUCUGGGAAACUGCCUGAUGGAGGGGGAUAACUACUGGAAACGGUAGCUAAUACCGCAUACACUCAGCGAUGACCAGAUGGGAUGAGCUAGUAGGUGGGGUAACGGCUCCCCGAGGCGACGAUCCCUAUCUGGUCGGAGAGGAUGACCAGCCAAACUGGAACUGAGACACGGUCCAGACUCCGACGGGAGGCAGCAGUGGGGAAUAUUGCACAAUGGGCGCAAGCCUGAUGCAGCCAGGCCGCGUGUGUGAAGAAGGCCUUCGGGUUGUAAAGCACUUUCAGCGGGGAGGCGUUACCCGCAGAAGAAGCACCGGCUAACUCCGUGCCAGCCGCCGCGGUAAUAC